UGAGAGUGUUUUUUAUCCUCAUAAAAGUUUCUGUGAUACUUGGCUUUUUCUGAUAAUGUUAGCUUAAGCAAGAUGAGAGACUAAGAAACAGAGCAGGAGGAACAUCGGCUCUAUGUGAGGGAGCUUCUGGCUGCUAUGAAGAAAGUUAUUUAUGCAGAGAUGCUGCAUUGCAGCUUCUGAGAUGUGUAGGAUAUCCGUAUGUCCUGCAAGUGUUAAAGGUGUUACUGCUAGCCUCUACUGUUGUCUCUAUACCACAGAUAGCAGAAGCAAGCAUUUGCCUGUUCUUCAGCUCCCACAGUUCACUGCUGACAGCUUAGCUUAACUUAUAUUACUGAAAAACAAUUGUCCUUUUAUACCAGACCACGAACUGUUUCAUCUAAAGCACAGGCAGAUGUUUGUGAGGAUACAAAUGCCAGAUGGGUGUGGGACAAACAGCUGUCAGUAACAUGUUAACUGCAAUACAUAAAUACACCAGAGCUCUUGAGUCCAAGCCUUUAUCUGUGUCCUUAUCCUUGUAGUCUGGUUUGUUUUCAUAAAUACCCUGUCUUCAGUAGUUAAAAAACUAGGGUAUUUCAUAGAGAUCUGAAACUGGCGUCAGGUAUUUUUUAAAAGAGUUUUGAACUCUUGACGGAGAGGGAUAAAGAGGGAAGAGACUAGCAUCAAGCUGUCAAGAAUAGCUGUUCUGGGUGGCUCCAUCUUUUAACAGUUAGGCAGAUCACAAACCAGCUGGGAUGCCAGAGCAGCUAAGGACAACAUCUAUUGUCAAGUAUCAGCUGAGCAUUUUUUCUAAUUUUAUUUUUUUGAUUUGCUUCAUUAUAAAUCUCUUAAGAGAUUUUUUUUCUCUUUAGAUUUCAUUUAGUGAUACCUGUUGAGUGGCUAGAUAUACAGUAUAUUAUUCUAUUCCUGUACGUAUAGCAGUUUUUAAGCUCAGGCUUUUUAGCAUCCAAUAGUUAUUCAGGCAUACCAAAAUAAUAUGAUGCUCCUUUGCAAGCUGUUCCAGUCAGGCUGGGUGUAGUGUAGAUGUCUUUGUGAAAGAAGUGCCUACUGGGGUCUCAUUAGCCAAAGCAGUUUUGCCGCAUACAACAGGACAGCCAGGAUUUCUCCUCAUGACCUCAUGAAUGCCAAGAGAGUUAUGAUUCUUCUUAGCUCUUCUUAGUUACUACAGAAUUCUGCAUUAAAAUAUUUCUGUUCUCUUGCCAUUGUUUUGUUGCAGUUUUACAGCUCAUUUAUUGUGAAUAGGAAAAUAUAAAAAAGCUAAGGACAGAAGGUGAUAAAGCAUGUCAAGCUGCUAUAUCAUGCUUUUUGGGGUCUGUUCCCCACUACCAAGACUCAUGAUUAGCUUGUUCUUUUGCCUUGCACUGUUGGCCAAAAAUAACCCAUGGAGUGGCAAUGAUUACAAAAUUUCAAAACGUCUGGUUUAUGUUUAGGCCCAUAAUAUCUUAGGUUGCUAAGGCUUUAUUCCUUAUCUUGUUUAAACAUCGCAAGUCUAAAAAUCUUUCGUGUCUCAAAGAAUAUGCAGUUGAUUCUUCCAGGGUUUUCCAUGUGUCCACACUCUGUCAAAUGCUGACAAAGUGAAGUACUAAAGUCACAUCCUUCCUGUGGAAAUCCACAGAAAACCAAUUCCAUAAAUCAGCUUUUAUUAAUAGGAUGUAAUUAAAAUGAUCCAGACCUAGCUGCAUAGGUGUUUUUGGCACUCUUAUUUUGUUUACUUCAAUAUGGCCUGACAAGUUACAGCAUGAAGAUAGCUAUAAAGGAGCUGGAGAAUGGAAAAUAUCUGUUAAAAAUUAAAUAUGACAUGUUCAUCCUGGAUAGGAAUGUGCUUCUUGGUUAUAUAACUAUCGUGCUGUAUUUAGGUGCAUUUACAAGAUUUGUCUUGUUACCUUCUUGGGAGUUUACAGGUUAUUCGACACUCCCUUGGGCUGUAAAUUAUGGGCACAUAAAUACUGAAGGGUGAUUUAUUAUUAAAAAAAAAAAAAAAAAGAAAAAGAAAAACAUAUAUACACAUCCCACCUUUAGCUGGAAAGAGACUUCUUUGUGCACCAAGCCUUUAAAUAGUGAGCAGCAAGCUGCUACUUUCACUUUUUCGGAUCGUGUUGCUCAAGGUUCUCAGCCCUCUCACCAUGAAGAGUGUUGCUCUUCUUUUCCUAGUAGUGAUCUGUGGCAUGGGAGGAUUAGGACAGAAGCUGAAACCAAAGAAAAGAAGCAAUGGUGAAGAAAUCAAUUUUCGGACUAAAACCAAAGAUGUUUGCACAAUGAGCAUGAGUGGGGAUGAGGAGAUGAAACUUAGAGUUGAAUGCAAAAGCCAAGGCAAGUCCUACUGGUGUGAAUUCACUGGCAAGCCAUCAGUCUGUCGUCCUUUCAGAAAGAAUCCAAAGAUGUACUGGAACCAGAUCGCCAUGGAACUUAGAAAGCUCCCACAUGCUUGUGAAUCUACUCAAGUGCUGAAGGCCACCAUGUGCCAAAAGGCUCCCACAGAUGCUGUUAUGAAGCAAAUAGCUGCUGGCAUGGAGCCAGAAGAUCUAGCAAACCAGGACAAAUUGGUCCAGAAAGCUUCAGCUUCUACAAAGGGAGUAGGGAAGAGCUCUGUAAAGAAGAUAGGGAAACCUGCAGUACUACCUCUUAUAAAACCAAACCAACAUGGUCAAGGGCCUGAGAAUGAAACUGAAGCAAUGAGACUGGCACGAGAGCAUUGCUGGGAAUCACUGCACGGUUUCUGCUCCUACAUUAUUGGCAUCUUUAGAGGUUAAGGAUUUGCUUCAGGUAAAACUUCCUCUUGAAGCACAGCAGAAAAUACCUAAGAAUAAUCCUAACAAAAUUUUUACAGCUGAAGAAAGGUCCCUGCUGUAGUUUAAUACUUUAGACUAAUGAAUUUUGGUUUCAAAAUGAGUCAUCUCUGUCUUGUAGCUGUUUUCCCUUUGCACCCCUAAAAUGAAACUUUUUAACAGCCCUGAAAGAUACAUGAAACUGGAAUGAUUGUACUGCAAGUAUUAUGAUAAACUAAUUGUUCCUAAAUAUUACACGCAAUGUAACUGGAUUUAUAUAACCAAGAUUCCACUUUUACUUUAAAAGUGCUAUUCUUGAAUAAGUUGUUCUGUGUGCAGAUUUGCUUUGAUUUGUUAGAGAUACAAGCUGUAAAUGAUGCUACAGUUACUGCAAAGAAUAAAAUUAAGAAUUUUGAAAAAAUA